UACGUAGGUGGCAAGCGUUGUCCGGAUUUAUUGGGUUUAAAGGGUGCGUAGGCGGCCCUGUAAGUCAGUGCUGAAAUAUCCCGGCUUAACCGGGAGGGUGGCAUUGAUACUGCGGGGCUAGAGUACAGAUGAGGUAGGCGGAAUUGACGGUGUAGCGGUGAAAUGCUUAGAUAUCGUCAAGAACACCUAUAGCGAAGGCAGCUUACUAGGCUGUAACUGACGCUGAGGCACGAAAGUGUGGGGAGCAAGACGG
rnacentral:rRNA from 1 species